UUGAGAGCUGAGAAAGACUGAAGAGAGAGGAGAGAAGACAUUUGUGGGGCGACUGAGGAACACUCUUAGCUGUCUUAACCCCUACAGAUCGAAAUUUAAUUCAUGGAAUAUGGGGUUGAAAUGAAUUUUCCAAAGAGGAUGGAUCUUUUUGGUCCUUUUCCUAAGUUCCAUUUUUGCAUGACCCUCAUUGGCCUUCCUCUGCCCCUCCUCGUUUUUCUCUGUUCAUAAGGAUCCACAGAUUUGAUGUUACGGUAGAGAGAACCACUGUCGUGUGUUGAUAGACCAAUUACACUAACGUGGUGUUACAUUAUCUAAUACAUACAUAUAUAUGUCGAAGUUAGAUUUGAGUUUUCGUUUUUCGUCAUCUA